UACGAAGGGGGCUAGCGUUGCUCGGAAUCACUGGGCGUAAAGGGUGCGUAGGCGGGUCUUUAAGUCAGGGGUGAAAUCCUGGAGCUCAACUCCAGAACUGCCUUUGAUACUGAAGAUCUUGAGUUCGGGAGAGGUGAGUGGAACUGCGAGUGUAGAGGUGAAAUUCGUAGAUAUUGAGAGGAACACCUGAGGUGAAGACGGGUUGCUGGGCCGACACUGACGCUGACAGCGCGAAAGCCAGGGGAGCAAACGGG
rnacentral:rRNA from 1 species